AACUACAUCAUUCAAUCAUGUUGUAGUUUGUUUGUUCCAGAGUCAGAGAGCCGUGUCUCUGUACAGUCAGAGGUUUUUGUACGGCGGUUCGAUGAGUUUGUAUCACUGUGGUACACGUUCGGUGGAGGAACCAGACUGGAUGUUGGAAGUGAUGUCCGUCCCACCCUGACGGUGCUGCCCCCCUCUAGUGAGGAGAUGAAGAAGGGCCAUGCCACACUUACAUGUCUGGCCAACAAGGGCUUCCCCUCAGACUGGAGUCUGUCCUGGAAGGUGGACGGCAGCAGCAGCAGCAGCUAUGAGGAGAGCAGGAGCCCCGGGGUGCUGCAGAAGGACGGCCACUACAGCUGGAGCAGCACCCUGAGGGUCCCUGCAGACCAGUGGAGGAAGGUGGGCUCUGUGACCUGUGAGGCCACCCAGGGCUCCCAGACUCCACUCUCAGAGACACUGAGGAGAGACCAGUGUUCCCAGUACUGACCUGACUAACUGGGAAUCUGAUCCUUGUUUUAUUUUGUUACAACUCUUCUUCUUCAGUAUCAAACACUGUUCCUUUC